AUUAAUCUCUUAAGCUGGAACUGCCGGGGGGCGGGGAACCCUCGGACAGUUCGUGAUCUUGCGACUAUGGUACAGUCGCAUCCCAUGUUCGUUUUUCUGUGUGAAACACGUCAGAAAGCGAGUCAGAUGUAGAGGAUCAGAGGCCGCCUUUGUCUUAAAGGGUUUGAGGGUGUUGAUAGUAAUGGUCUUAGCAGUGGUUUGGCGUUAUUUUGGCAUGAAUCAUACCAAGAUACAGUCCUUGACAAGGGAGAUCGGAUCAUUGAUGUUGUCAUUGGCCUGGAUGGUACUGAGAAAUGGAGACUAACAACAGUAUAUGGAGAGCCUAGGGUGGAAGGUCGACACUUGAUGUGGACAAUUAUGCAAAAUCUUAAAAAAGUUUCAGUGUUGCCAUGGCUCGUCGUUGGCGAUUUCAACGAGGCACAUUGGGGUUUUGAGCAUAUUUGUCACUAA
rnacentral:rRNA from 1 species